GACGACCGCUGGCGGCGUGCUUAACACAUGCAAGUCGAACGGAAAGGCCCUGCUUUUUUGGGUGCUCGCGUGGCGAACGGGUGAGUAACCCGUGAGUAACCUGCCCUUGACUUUGGGUUAACUUCAGGAAACCUGGGCCAAUACCGGAUAGGAGCUCCCGCUUCAUGGUUGGGGUUGGAAAGUUUCGGCGGUUGGGGAUGGACUUGCGGCUUAUCAGCUUGUUGGUGGGGUAGUGGCUUACCAAGGCUUUGACGGGUAGCCGGCCUGAGAGGGUGACCGGCCACAUUGGGACUGAGAUACGGCCCAGACUCCUACGGGAGGCAGCAGUGGGGAAUAUUGCACAAUGGGCGGAAGCCUGAUGCAGCAACGCCGCGUGCGGGAUGACGGCCUUCGGGUUGUAAACCGCUUUCGCCUGUGACGAAGCGUGAGUGACGGUAAUGGGUAAAGAAGCACCGGCUAACUACGUG
rnacentral:rRNA from 1 species